rnacentral:rRNA from 1 species
AUUGAACGCUGGCGGCAUGCUUUACACAUGCAAGUCGAACGGCAGCACGAGUGCUUGCACUUGGUGGCGAGUGGCGGACGGGUGAGUAAUACAUCGGAACGUGUCCAAUAAUGGGGGAUAACGCACCGAAAGGUGUGCUAAUACCGCAUACGCCCUGAGGGGGAAAGCGGGGGAUCGUAAGACCUCGCGUUAAUGGAGCGGCCGAUGCCGGAUUAGCUAGUUGGUGAGGUAAAGGCUCACCAAGGCGACGAUCCGUAGCUGGUCUGAGAGGACGACCAGCCACACUGGAACUGAGACACGGUCCAGACACCUACGGGUGGCAG